UACAGAGGUCCCAAGCGUUGUUCGGAUUCACUGGGCGUAAAGGGUGCGCAGGUGGGUUUGCAAGUUCGAUGUGAAAGCCCCGGGCUUAACCCGGGAAUGGCAUUGGAUACUGCAGAUCUGGAGGAUCGGAGGGGGGACUGGAAUUCUUGGUGUAGCAGUGAAAUGCGUAGAUAUCAAGAGGAACACCAGUGGCGAAGGCGAGUCCCUGGACGAUACCUGACACUGAGGCACGAAAGCUAGGGGGGGCAAACAGG
rnacentral:rRNA from 1 species